GAUGAACGCUGGCGGCGUGCCUAAUGCAUGCAAGUCGAGCGAACGGACGAGAAGCUUGCUUCUCUGAUGUUAGCGGCGGACGGGUGAGUAACACGUGGAUAACCUACCUAUAAGACUGGGAUAACUUCGGGAAACCGGCGCUAAUACCGGAUAAUAUUUUGAACCGCAUGGUUCAAAAGUGAAAGACGGUCUUGCUGUCACUUAUAGAUGGAUCCGCGCUGCAUUAGCUAGUUGGUAAGGUAACGGCUUACCAAGGCAACGAUGCAUAGCCGACCUGAGAGGGUGAGCGGCCCCACUGGAACUGGGACACGGUCCAGACUCCUACGGGAGGCAGCAGUAGGGAAUCUUCCGCAAUGGGCGAAGGCCUGAAGGAGCAACGCCGCGUGCGUGAUGAAGGGCUUCGGAUCGUAAAACUCUGUUAUUAGGGAAGAACAUAUGUGUAAGUAACUGUGCACAUCUUGACGGUACCUAAUCAGAAAGCCACGGCUAACUACGUG
rnacentral:rRNA from 1 species